rnacentral:rRNA from 3 species
GAUGAGUUCUCCCUGAGACUUUAGAGUCUCCUGAAGGAACGUUGAAGACGACGACGUUGAUAGGCCGGGUGUGUAAGCGCAGCGAUGCGUUGAGCUAACCGGUACUAAUGAACCGUGAGGCUUAACCUUACAACGCCGAAG